GAAACUGCGAAUGGCUCAUUAAAUCAGUUAUCGUUUAUUUGAUAGUACCCUACUACAUGGAUACCUGUGGUAAUUGGGGGGGGGGUACAUGCGCAAAACCCCGACUUCGGAAGGGGUGUAUUUAUUAGAUAAAAAACCAAUGCCCUUCGGGGCUCCUUGGUGAUUCAUAAUAACUUCACGAAUCGCAUGGCCUUGCGCCGGCGAUGGUUCAUUCAAAUUUCUGCCCUAUCAACUUUCGAUGGUAGGAUAGUGGCCUACCAUGGUGGCAACGGGUAACGGGGAAUUAGGGUUCGAUUCCGGAGAGGGAGCCUGAGAAACGGCUACCACAUCCAAGGAAGGCAGCAGGCGCGCAAAUUACCCAAUCCCGAUACGGGGAGGUAGUGACAAUAAAUACUGAUACAGGGCUCUUUUGGGUCUUGUAAUUGGAAUGAGAACAAUCUAAACACCUUAACGAGGAACAAUUGGAGGGCAAGUCUGGUGCCAGCAGCCGCGGUAAUUCCAGCUCCAAUAGCGUAUAUUAAAGUUGUUGCAGUUAAAAAGCUCGUAGUUGAACCUUGGGCCCGUCCUGCCGGUCCGCCUCACCGCGAGUACUGGUCCGGAUGGGCCUUUCUUUCUGGGGAAUCCCAUGGCCUUCACUGGCUGUGGUGGGGAACAGGACUUUUACUGCGAAAAAAUUAGAGUGUUCAAAGCAGGCCUUUGCUCGGAUACAUUAGCAUGGAAUAAUAGAAUAGGACGUGCGGUUCUAUUUUGUUGGUUUCUAGGACCGCCGUAAUGAUUAAUAGGGAUAGUCGGAGGCGUCAGUAUUCAGCUGUCAGAGGUGAAAUUCUUGGAUUUGCUGAAGACUAACUACUGCGAAACAUUCGCCAAGGAUGUUUUCAUUAAUCAGGGAACGAAAGUUAGGGGAUCGAAGACGAUCAGAUACCGUCGUAGUCUUAACCAUAAACUAUGCCGACUAGGGAUCGGGCGAUGUUACUAUGAUGACCCGAUCGGCACUUACGAGAAACCAAGUUUUGGGGUUUCGUGGGGGAGUAGGUCGCAAGUUGAAACUAAAGAAUUUGACGGAAGGGCACCACCAGGAUUGGGACCGCGGUUAUUUUGUUUCAACACGGGGAAAUACACCAGUCCCAGACUGAGGAAGGAUUGACAGAUUGUGAGUUUUUCUUCGAUUUUUGGGUCGUUGUCGCUUGGCCUUUCUCAGUUGUUGGAGUGAUUGUCUGUUUAAUCCCGUUAACGAACGAGACUUUAACUGUAAAUUAGCCCCAUCGAUAUGGUUGGUGGCUGGCUCCUCAGAGGGACUAAUUGCAACCACCCAAGGAAGUUUGAGGCAAUAACAGGUCUGUGAUGCCC
rnacentral:rRNA from 1 species